UAUGUCUGAAAGGUUCAUCCGUAUUGCAUGUAGAUGAGUUCAUUUCUUCAUUGCUGUACUGCAUAAAAGCUUGUCAGUUAUGUGCUAUAACUUAAAACACAAACAUGUCCUGUGGGUCAGACACUGAGCUGGCUCCCAGGGAAUCCAGACACGUGCCCCCACAGCCCCGGUGCUCAGGGCACGGUUUAAGAGGGGAUGGGAACCACCUUGUGUUUCCCCAGCGUGAGGGAUCUCAUCAAGUGCAUCCAAAACAAGGAGAGUAUAAUACUUUAUGGGAACACUGCACGGGAGGCAAUGUCAUUUAAAUACCCUGGGAGCUCUUACAAGGUGCCCAGCCCUCUCUGAGGAGCUGGGAGGUGAGGAAGGUGGCUAGGCUGUGCUUUCUCUUCUUGCGGGGCUAAUAUGAGGCAGCGGGAGGAAAGACAAGUUGCAAAGGGAAAUAUGCCAUAAUAGAGGGGCCACAGCCGACUCUGGAAAUCCAGAGGAGGACUCCCCAGCCUGGGGGUUAGGGAAGACGCCUAAAGGGGCCAUUGUUUUCAAAAUGGUGGCCAGCUCUCCCCGGAAGGUUGAGCUUGCCCCCAGCUCCGGAGGAUGACUGCUGAUUGGUUGGAGCCAAGGAAGAAGCGCCUGUUCUCCACCAGUCACUGGCUCGGCCUUGGGCACGUGAUAUGUUCUGGCCAAUCAGAUGUGAGGGAAAGUCAGGUGGGGUGGGUCUAGGGCACAGCGCCUCUAGGAGACCUUUUCCUCACUGCAAUAGAAAAGAAAAAGCUUUCUGUGGAGUCCUCUCCCCAGUCUUCUGCCUCUGGUCCUCAUCGUGGAGUGGCCGCACCGGCUUGUAUUCCCACCAACAAUGCAAAAGAGAUCCUCUUUCUCCACAUCCUCGCCAACAUCUGUUGUUAAGAUCGGCCGUUCUGACCGGGGUGGGGUGGUAUCUCAUCACAGGACAGGGUUUCUUAGCUGCGUCUUCCAGGAUGCUUAAGAAUUAACUGCAUGGAAGUGAUGACAAGGAUAUGCCCGUGCAAACCGGGACGCCACCAGGAGUGGAAGUGGGCAUUGCCAACGAUGACCCACGGACGAAUGACCCAAAGCAGCCCUGCCCCGGGGAAAAUGGGACGCAGGGACACAGUUUCCGUGGCCUGGCAGCUGGGAUGCCCUCAAUUCGUGUUCCAAAUUGCAGCUGAUCCUCAGAAUGUCCUGGGGACGUUGAAGACCAAAGCAGAUGAAGAAGAAACCUAUUUGCAGGGGAACCAAAGAGUUCAUACCUGGAAAGGGUCAGACCAUCGCCGGGCACACCAGAGGACCUCAAUUCUGACAAAUAAUAUUCGUAAAGUGCCUAACACUGUGUUCAGGGCCUGAAUAAAUGGCAAAUCAUCAUCCUCUUCUGCCCCUUUCUGCUGUUUUUAUCUUCAUCCCGGGGACCAAGAGAUGUCGUGUUUCACCGGACGGAACCUCCCCCGUCUCCUGCACUGUUGCUCAGAAGGAAGGCAUCUUUUUCAUCCAGAUGAGGACCGAUCCUCGGCCCAGCUAGACAUCCUGCAUGUGCCUUCUGGAGCUCUGUUCUAUGCCCCAUCCAGAACUUGAUCACAUCAAAACUUUUAAAGAAAAAAAGUCACCGUUGCGAAGCAGCUCCCAUAGUAAGGAGCUCCAUGGACGGCCACCCUGGGUCCUAGCGCAUUUGAUUCAUUCGCAAGGCCUGGAAACCUUUUAGCCUUGCACUUGGAGGCUGUGUAUUCACCCCUCUCCUCUCUGUGUCGUGUGUUUGGGCCUCGGUUGUAACGGAUUUUAGGUUUGCAGCUUCACGUGAUACUUCUGGUUUUGCUUCGCCUGACCGAUGGGGUCCAGAAGACGACGCGCUCACCCUGCGAGGGACAUUGCACUCCCAAAGCAGAGCUGCCUGGCGGAAAGGCCUGGAAAAUGAUUUGUGGCUGGUGGGGAGUUGCCUUGCAUGAAAAUAAAGGACGGGUUAACGGGCCGGUCCCCACUCGGGAAAGAGAGUGUUUUUGUUCCAGGAAGCUGAGGACCACAGCUAUUUCAGACAAGCGGGCUUUUGCCAGUUCGUUUCUGCAGAGCCCCACAGAAGGUUGCAGAGCUCAUCAACUUUUCCAGGCUUUGAAGCGGAGAGGCAGCUGUGGUGUGGUGGGAAGUCGGCCAGCGUCGUAGCCGCGAAACCUGGCGUCAGGUCCCAGCUCUGCUGCUUGCUACCUGGCCUCCGUUUCCUCACAGGUGAAACGGGGGUAAUCCUACAUGGCCCCUUCCCCACCCCCAAACCCCCAGUUACUCUGAGGAUGCAAAGGAAUAGCGUGUGAGAUGGUGUGUCAGACUUAGAAUUGGGGCGUCGUAAAUAUGUAUCGGACCAAAAACCGUCAACCAAGCACCCACCGUCUUGGGGAGGAGAGCUUCUCAAGCUCUGUGGCUCUGAGAACAAAAAUGCCGGAAAUCCCUGAAUUCAAAAUGGCUGCUGCGGCCGCAGUGAGGGCUUCCUCCAGACUCUCCGUGGUCAGUGUUGCAGGGGUUGUGAGGCGAGAAGGAGACAGGCCUCACUGGCUCCGGGCUGGCCGUGCCCAGACUCUUCAGGGAAUGCCCUCUGUGGGUGGAUAUUGGAUAUUUUAUGCUGGCUUAGGAAGGAUGGCCAAGCGUUCCGGGCUCAUUGACUGGCUGUUUUCCUUACUUUGUUCACAUGACCAACUACACCGUGGUGACCACUGUCUCCUUUUCUUCUUUGGCCGUUAUAAAUACUACACCUCCCUCGCUUACACACACACACACACACACACACACACACACACACACGCAGCAGGACUUUUUUCUCUUGGGACUAAAAGUUGUUUAUUGUUUUGUUCUAAUAAUAAAUUCAGGGCCUACUCACAGUAGCAGAUCACAAUAAAAAUACCUGAUAAUCUCAA